rnacentral:lncRNA from 1 species
GGCUUUUUUUUUUUUUUUUUUUUUUUAAGAAUUUAAUGACCCAUUGCUGAAAAAAUUGUCAUGUGGAACCACCCCAAGGAUGCCCGACAGUAUGAGAUUGAAAGUGGCAGAACAUUCAUAGUUACCAAAACAUGUCCAAAAUAAUGUCAUUUAUAUACUCCAUUAACGGUUAAUUGAAAUAAAUGCUAACUGUACCAUACAAAAAUAUUUGGGCUCUGUCAUUUCUGGAAACAUCUGCUAUAUAGCAGUUAUUUGGGAAAUUAAAGCAGCCCACAAUGAAUUGGUUCCUCACGAUAUCUCUGUAUCUCUCUGAUAAGAGAGAUCUCUGCCCAUAGCAAACCGGGAGGUGUAUAACACUCUCAGUGCUUUCCGUUAGAUCUACCUUUAUAGACUUGAAGUAACUUUGUCUCAGGCAACCUUGGUUUAUUCUUAUUAUUUACAGUUCGUGAUGUCACUGAAGUGAGCUCUUUUCCACUGGGAAGAAGAAAUUUCACUGCAAUUCAGACAUGUUCCUAACAUAGCGAUCUACAGCAAAUUCAGAGGUGCCAAGCCCUGCCAGCCCAAGAUUUCAACCAGAGGAAUAACCAUGGUGCAGCAGACGGGCAUCCAGUCUCAGCCCACACCUCCCUGCUGCUUCCCUGCCAGAGGAAGAAGAUCCCCUGGUGAGAUGUUCAUCGCUGCCCUGGGACUCCUAUUCUGACACUCCAACCUCUGGUACGAUCUAAAUGCUGAGAAAGGUAAAAUUCUAGAGAAGUUUUAAAAAAGAAAGAUGGAAGGAUUUAAUAGCUCCUGUACAAGAAAAUAAGAGCAUGCUGGCCAAAAGCCUGCUCUUCUUUUCAGGGAAUUACCAACAGGCAGAUUACAAUGAUCACCUUCUAAAUUGUAGUAUCCAACCACAUUUUCUGUGAAGAUAAUUUUGGAUUCCAGUAAGUAAAAAAAAAAAAAAAAAAAAGUUACUGUUGGUUGUUCCCCCCACUUCCCUCCUCGUCCCUUUUUUCCA